rnacentral:rRNA from 1 species
UACGUAGGUGGCAAGCGUUGUCCGGAUUUAUUGGGCUUAAAGGGUGCGUAGGCGGCUCUGUAAGUCAGUGGUGAAAUACUCUAGCUUAACUAGAGGGGUGCCAUUGAUACUGCAGGGCUUGAGUACAGACGAGGUAGGCGGAAUUGACGGUGUAGCGGUGAAAUGCAUAGAUAUCGUCAAGAACUCCGAUAGUGAAGACAGCUUACUAGGCUGUAACUGACGCUGAGGCACGAAAGUGUGGGGAUCAAACAGG